UCCUACGGGGCGCAGCAGUGGGGAAUAUUGCACAAUGGGGGAAACCCUGAUGCAGCGACGCCGCGUGAGCGAAGAAGUAUUUCGGUAUGUAAAGCUCUAUCAGCAGGGAAGAAAAAUGACGGUACCUGAGUAAGAAGCUCCGGCUAAAUACGUGCCAGCAGCCGCGGUAAUGCGUAUGGAGCAAGCGUUAUCCGGAUUUACUGGGUGAAAAGGGAGAGAAGGUGGCAGAGCAAGUACGAAGUGAAAACC
rnacentral:rRNA from 1 species